UCCGGUGGUUCUGAAUGGAAGGGCCAUCGCUCAACGGAUAAAAGGUACUCCGGGGAUAACAGGCUGAUACCGCCCAAGAGUUCAUAUCGACGGCGGUGUUUGGCACCUCGAUGUCGGCUCAUCACAUCCUGGGGCUGAAGUAGGUCCCAAGGGUAUGGCUGUUCGCCAUUUAAAGUGGUACGCGAGCUGGGUUUAGAACGUCGUGAGACAGUUCGGUCCCUAUCUGCCGUGGGCGCUGGAAGAUUGAGGGGGGCUGCUCCUAGUACGAGAGGACCGGAGUGGACGCAUCACUGGUGUUCGGGUUGUCAUGCCAAUGGCACUGCCCGGUAGCUACAUGCGGAAGAGAUAAGUGCUGAAAGCAUCUAAGCACGAAACUUGCCCCGAGAUGAAUCUUCCCUGAGCCUUUAAGGCUCCUGAAGGAACGUUGAAGACGACGACGUUGAUAGGCCGGGUGUGUAAGCGCAGCGAUGCGUUGAGCUAACCGGUACUAAUGAACCGUGAGGCUUAACCUUACAACGCCGAA
rnacentral:rRNA from 1 species